UACGAAGGGGGCUAGCGUUGCUCGGAAUCACUGGGCGUAAAGCGCACGUAGGCGGAUUGUUAAGUCAGGGGUGAAAUCCUGGAGCUCAACUCCAGAACUGCCUUUGAUACUGGCGAUCUUGAGUCCGGGAGAGGUGAGUGGAACUGCGAGUGUAGAGGUGAAAUUCGUAGAUAUUCGGAAGAACACCAGUGGCGAAGGCGGCUCACUGGACCGGCAUUGACGCUGAUGCGCGAAAGCGUGGGGAGCGAUCCGG
rnacentral:rRNA from 1 species